GGUGGUGUGGCUGAGUGGUCUAAGGCGCUGGAUUUAAGCUCCAGUCAUAUCAGUGGUGUGGGUUCAAAUCCCACCACUGCCA